rnacentral:tRNA from 1 species
GGACCCGUGGGUUAGCAUGGAUAGACCACCUGCCUCCUAAGCAGGUUAUCGUGCGUUCGAAUCGCACCGGGUCCG